UCCAACUAGCCCACCCCCUCCCCAUCCCAAUCCAAUUUCGUUCCCCACCGUUUCCUUCGUUCUCCACCGCGCUCACUAGCUAGGGUUCCGGCCGCCGCCGGUGAGCGCCUGCCAUUUAUGGCGGAUCAGGAAGCUGCCGAGAGGCCCAUAGUCUCCAUCCCUCGCCGUCCCCCGACGCCGCUGCUCCCCUGGACCCCGUCGCGCUCCGGGACAGGCCGGCGCUCACCCCCGAGUUCUCUCGCCUCGUCUUCUCCACGGAGCUCCCUGCCGACGCCCCACGCCGGAGCUGUGGGCCGACCUCCCCUGCGGCCCGAGUACGACCCCAAGAUCGCCCAGCGCAAGGACGGCGGCGCUGGUGGAGCUGGUGUCGCAGUUCAUGGUGGAGCUGGUGGGCACCAAGGUGGUGGACGGCGAGGCGCCGCCCAGGAUCCUCCACUUCAACCCCAGGAUCCGCGGGGACUACUGCGGCGAGCCGGUGAUUGAGAUGAACAGCUGCUACAGGAUGCAGUGGGCCCGGUCGCACCGCUGCGAGGGCUUCGCCUCCCGCCCCGCCGAAGAAACUGGCUGAGACAUUGCUAGCUUACUUGCAUGAGCAACGACAAGGGGGCGGCUCCAGGGCUGGACCAGGCGGCACAGCUGAGCAUGCUGAAAUGCAGAAAGUAAUGCUUGGUUUGUCCUUCACCUCGUCGGCUCUGUUUCUUUAUUUGGGCGUCGAGAACAGAGCAGCCCUAUAUGUAUUGGGCGCGAUGAUCAUGUGUAAAUAACAGCCGACUUUUGGCUCAGUUCUGUGAAUGUACAUAUGUGGUCUGCGACUGCGAGUGAUGGAAGGUUAGAUGGCUAGUCACUAACAUCAGUUGAGAGGAGCAUCCAGGUUAUCUUAGGAGAGGUCAUGGGUUGCUGCUUAGUUAUAUGUGUGGUGUCAAAGUUGUAGUUGUGUACAGGACGUAUGUUUAGGGUGGUAAUAUGGUAAUGCCA